UACGAAGGGGGGCUAGCGUUGCUCGGAAUUACUGGGCGUAAAGGGCGCGUAGGCGGAUAUUUAAGUCGGGGGUGAAAGCCCAGGGCUCAACCCUGGAAUAGCCUUUCGAUACUGGAUAUCUUGAGUUCGGGAGAGGUGAGUGGAACUCCGAGUGUAGAGGUGAAAUUCGUAGAUAUUCGGAAGAACACCAGUGGCGAAGG
rnacentral:rRNA from 1 species